CAUAAGCUCUCGGCAAGAAGAUCAGGUGAGGUGCUUAAUACAUAUGUGCUGGAUAAUGGUUGAAGUCCUUGCCACCAUCUCCCUCAGCCCACUCAGCACAAAGCUCCACCACACAGUGGGUACUCCCUUGUCACAAUGGCAUGCCAUGUGUAUUGGCCACAAUUCAGAGGCAUACUAAGAAACGGUUUGUGUCUUGGGUAGGAUUCCCCCGACAUACCUCCUGAGAUGGGGACUCUUUCGAGUGAUUUAUUGGGGAAGAGCUCUCAGGACACUGACAUUUGGAAAGGCUGAGGAAUGCAGGAUAGACUAUGGAGGGAGGUGAAGAGGCCCUAAGCAAAAUGCCAUCUUGGUCUAAUCCAUGGAGAAACUCUGAGGCACAAUGUGUAUUAUGAUGCUAGCCCAGCCUGAGCAAGGGGCUUGCUGCUUUGUGUGUGACACCCACAUGGGCCUAUGGUGUGCUCCAUUAUGCCAGAGGACGUUGGAGACUUGGCAUUUCAUGGAAAGAUCCAUCAGGUUUCAUUGUGGAAAGUGGACUCAAUGCGGACAGUGUGGAUUGGGAAGAGCAUAGUGCUACAGCAUCUAGACAGAAGGUGAAGGCAGCUUAGGCUAAGCGAAGGAGAGAGUGCAAAGUUGGAGAUUUAUUUCAAAUAUGGAGAUACGGUAUGGAAUUUGGAAACUGGGUCUCUGGAUGUUGCCCAGGCCUGGAACUCCUGCGUUCAAGCGUCCCUCCUCCUUCGGCCUCCCACGUAGCUGGGACUACAGGCAAAUUAAUUACCAGAAAAAUAUCCUGCCUCCUAGCUCCAUGUCUACUGCCGGAUGGUACCUGUCAAAAAGAUAAGAUCUUUCAAUGAAUUAAAGAAGGUGAAAGGCC